rnacentral:rRNA from 1 species
AUACGAAGGGGGCUAGCGUUGUUCGGAAUCACUGGGCGUAAAGCGCACGUAGGUGGACUAAUUAGUUGAGGGUGAAAUCCCGGGGCUCAACCUCGGAACUGCCUUCAAUACUGUUAGUCUUGAGUCCGAGAGAGGUGAGUGGAAUUCCUAGUGUAGAGGUGAAAUUCGUAGAUAUUAGGAAGAACACCAGUGGCGAAGGCGGCUCACUGGCUCGGUGCUGACGCUGAGGUGCGAAAGCGUGGGGAGCAAACAGGAUUAGAAACCCCAGUAGUCC